rnacentral:rRNA from 1 species
GACGAACGCUGGCGGCGUGCUUAACACAUGCAAGUCUAACGGAAAGGCCCUGCUUUUGUGGGGUGCUCGAGUGGCGAACGGGUGAGUAACACGUGAGUAACCUGCCCUUGACUUUGGGAUAACUUCAGGAAACUGGGGCUAAUACCGGAUAGAAGCUCCUGCUGCAUGGUGGGGGUUGGAAAGUUUCGGCGGUUGGGGAUGGACUCGCGGCUUAUCAGCUUGUUGGUGGGGUAGUGGCUUACCAAGGCUUUGACGGGUAGCCGGCCUGAGAGGGUGACCGGCCACAUUGGGACUGAGAUACGGCCCAGACUCCUACGGGAGGCAGCAGUGGGGAAUAUUGCACAAUGGGCGGAAGCCUGAUGCAGCAACGCCGCGUGCGGGAUGACGGCCUUCGGGUUGUAAACCGCUUUCGCCUGUGACGAAGCGUGAGUGACGGUAAUGGGUAAAGAAGCACCGGCUAACUACGUG